AUUAUGCGACAGUUUACGUCUAUCAUCUUGAUGUCCUGGAGAAUUGUAAUACCUGACACAAGACAAAGAAGAUCUAUAUUUAAGAUAGAAGAGGUUAUGAAUUUGAACGAGAAGAAUCAGUAUAGUGAUGAUGAAUUUUCUCUUAAAAACAAAACAUACAUGCAUUGACAGGCCAAAGUGGGUGGAUCACUUGAGGCCAGGGGUUCGAGACCAGCCUGGGCAACAUGGUGAAACCCUGUCUCUACUAUAAAUACAAUUAGCCAGGUGUGGUAGCACAUGCCUGUAGUCCCAGCUACUUGGGAGACUGAGGCACGAGAAUCACUUGAACUCAGGAGGCUGAGGCUACAGUGAGCCAGGAUUGCACCACUGCACUCCAGCCUGGGUGACAGAGAACCCUGGUCUAGAAAACAAAACAUACACUUCAAUUUCCAUCUAUGGGAAAGCAAUAACCAGUCCAGAAGCAAUGAACACACCUAAUCAGCCACUGUUCUUUAGAGAAGUAGCUGACCCCAGGUCUGGAGAAGUGAGCCUGAAACAUCUUGACAUACAGAUAACUACUAGUAGAAAUGAGGAAAUCAAAUCAAAUGUGGGACAUAUAAGGAUCAAUAACACUAAUACUGCAGAGGUUUCAAACAUCAAAUAUGUUAAAAUUUACAAGUUCAUACUAAUGCUUAAGAAAAAAUUUAUCACAGUGGAUGCCAAAGAAUCAACUCAUUCUGAAAAAAAUAGGUAAGUAAAGGAAAAGCAUCCCAUAUCUGUGUCUUUCUUACACAAACCGUACCGCUAGUAGCCAAAUAGCAGAUGAGGGGGAGUUUCUCCUUGCAGAGAAAUAUUCCUGCUUACACAUGAAAAAGGGAUAUAGAAUUAAGAUAUCAUUAUUUUGCAACCCCUAAUGAACAAGUGGAUCAAAACUAAGCAUCAGCUGCUACUCAAAUCCCAAAGAAGGCAAUCAGUUUGCGCCUCCUAUCGGGAAGACCACAUCACUGCCUAAAGUAGUCUCAUCAAAAAAAAGAAAGAAAAAAACAAACUCUAAUCAAGUGUCUAUAUUUACUUACCAAUUUAUGAGCUACAGAGAGAGCAAGGGACACGUUAAAGGUACUACAUGGUUGCAAGCAACAAAGUCAGACCUGGGGAAACCUGUCAGCAGUGCUUCUCAAACUAUGUGCUUGAUCAGUUUUCUUUUUCUCCCUAAUUUUCAAUUAACUAUAGACCAAUAAUUCUGUAAAAUACAAAAAAAAAAUUUUUUUUAAAAACCCCACAAAAACAUA
rnacentral:lncRNA from 1 species